AGAGGUGGCGGAGCUGGGACUCAGACCUGACGGUCCUGUGGCUGUGAACCCCCGCCUCCCCACUCCUCUGACGGUGUCCCCUCUAAGGAUACCUGAUACCUGGAGGAGCCAGCUGCCCCUCCUCUGUGAAAUGCACUGUGUUGCCAGGAGCGGGACACAGGCCUCCGGGUGGAGCCUCCUGUGUCCUCAAAUGGGCAGGUCUUGUGCCCAUCACUCUGGCACAUCCAUCCACACCCCUGGAAAUGGUCGCCAAGCCCUCCUGCCUGAACUCCCACGCUGGAUGCCAAGCCUGAACGCAUCGCUUUCCAGGACGCCUUUGAAGCUGUGAGCCCACCUGGGGGUCCCCGCCAGGCAGGAAAUAUCGAGAUGGAAGAGGAGGAUGCUGGGGGUGCCCAGGGCGGCAGGACGCCACGGACCGGAGGGAAGCAGACCUAGCCAGGUGCUCGGGCCACAGCCCCCCCCCCGUGUCCCCCCACACCCCUUCUGCCCCCCCAGCCUGUGGGUUCCAUAAAUGUACAGCCUUCACCCCGGGCCCUGGCAUGCACCCCAUAGACUGGUUCCUGGGGGCCAGUUCUGGGAGGGCAGGUGGGGGGCCGCCCCGGGGCCAGGCAGGCUAGCCCCCCCUCCGUGUCACCCCACCAGCCACGGCCAAGCACAGGCCCUCCCCUUGCGGUGGGCCCCUGUCAAGGUGCUGUGACCCCAGACAAGGUCACCAAGCCUGCCUGGCCUCAGCAGCGGCCAGCCUCCAGCAGGAUCAAAAACAACCCCUGCUGCUGGACCCGGGGUGCCAGCCUGGGAAGCCAGCUCUUCUGGACAAGGGCAUGGCCAUGGUCCCAGGGGCUCAGCUCAACUGGCCUCUUCUUCCUCUUCUUCCUGCCCUCCCGCCCCUCUCCCAGGCCUUCCCGACCCUCGGGCACUGUGCCCCACCCCCACUGCCGGCAGUAGGGGGCCUCGCGGCCCCUCCGCAAGGUAAUGGGGUCCAGCGCAUAAGAGGCAGCCAGAGGCUGGCAUGCUGGAGGGCGCACUGCGGCCAUCGGCCCGCUUCUGGCUGGCCCGCCGCCGGGAAGCCUCCUCUGCAUCUUCCGCAGUGCCGGCCCUGCUUUGUGACUCUGGCCCCGCUGUGACAGGCAGAGAUGACGGCCUGUCACCUCCCGCCAUGCUCAGGACAGAGGACGUGCCCACAGCAGAGCUGAGUGACGGGACCACGUCAGUUCUUUCUGGGAGUUCGUUUCCACCACGCGCGUCCAGAACCCCACCUGAGCCGUCAUCCCCUCCCCAGCGGGGUGCCCGGCCCAUCGACCCCUCCCCUGUCAGGGUGCCCAGCCUGUCCCUUCUCACCGAGGCCCUGAACCAGUUCUGGCGGGGUUGCUCCUGGCCAGAACCCACAGGGCCCGUGACCACUGGGGCCGCAUCGAACCUCUUGGCCCAACAAGGCGCCAAGACCCGCCCAGGGCGGCCUUCAGGCCUAGCCCUGGGUCUCCAGCCGGCUGGGCCCUCACGGGCCUGACGCACGCCUCCUCCUCUGGCCCCUGCAUCUCCGCUGCUUCCAGUGAUCAGAGCCUUCCCAAGCCAGUCUCUCCUCCCAGAAGCCUCCCAGGCCCUCCCCAGGCCUCCCUGGGGACCUGUGACACCUGCCCCGCCCCCUUGCCCCAGCCUCCCAGCAGACCUAGUCCCUCCCAGACCCUGGGGCGGCAGCAGCCCCACCCCUGCUGGAGCCAGGGGCGCAUGUGGGCCCUGCCCAUCCGUCUGUCUGGGGAAGGGGGGACCUGUGGGGAGGGGCCUGGCAAGAGCAGAGCUCCCAGCGGGCACGCCUGUCCUGGGCCUGAAGGGCUGCUGACAGGAGGCAUCUGGUUUCCAGGGACAGGCGGUCGAGGGCGAUGGCACCUGUCAGCAUUUCUGCCCUUCAGCGUGAGCCGAGGCAGGGCCCGCAUGUCUGGGGGAGCUGGCCAGACUCCUCCCCGCUGGGCUGCAGGAGUCUGCCAGCUGAGACCUGCUGCCCAGGCUGGGGGCUUCCCGGGCAUGCGUCCCCUGUCUCGCCCAACCAGACUGGCCUUGGAGCUGGGAGGCCCCUUGUCCCCAGGCCAGGGUGGGGUUCCACCAACAGAGCAUGGUCUGCACACUCAGCACCCCAAGAACACAGGUGCCAACCUGUGCCCUGCCCUGGCUGUGCAGCCUUGGUCAGGUGGCCAGCUCUCCUGGUCCUGCUUCCACGUCUGGAAAACGGGAGCAGUGGUGUGAGGUGGGGCCCUCAGCACAGAGCUUCCCCAGAAGCAGGCGCCCUCCCCCCAUUAGGGUCUGCUGUCCCCUCCCUCCUCCUGCCCUCCCCCGCCCCUCCUGGAUGGCUUUCCUCCGGGGCACCAUGUCUGAGCCCCUUGCAGAUGCCCCAGCAUCGACUGCUGCCCAGGGACCAGCCUGAGGGUCCGGCCAGCAGGGAGGCCGGGCGGCAUCGGGAAGCCCACAGCCUGAAGGCCCACGGAGGGACCUCAGAGGCAGCCCGGAUCCUCCAGCUGGACACCUGGCGACCAGAGGCCAGUGUCCUCCUGGGCCUGCUUCUCAGGGACAACCUGCCCCCUCCGUGUCCCGCCUCAGAGAGGAUUCAGAUGGAUGUGAGUUUGGGGGCGUGGGGGUCCUGCUCCCCUUCCCCGCUUCUCACCGGGAAAGAGAACGAGGUCUCCCGCCCCUCCUGCUGCGAGGCCUUCCCCACAGGAGAACUUCUUACAGACUCUUGUUGUCCCUGGAAGGUAUCUCACUGAGACCCCACAUUCAAAACCCUGCCCUUCUAAAGCUCCUUGAGGAGUUCUGGCCCCGGGGUGACCCCAGUGGGGUCUGCGGUUUCUGUGUCCGGGUGGCAGGGGUGCCUUUCUUAUCUUUCCUGACCUGGUGAGCUGGUGAGGCUCCUGGGCAAGCCCCUCCCCUCCCUCCCCCCACCGGCAGCGCCUUUACCAGAUCCACUUUGCCGACGCCUCGGUCCUCGGGGAAAAUACAAGAAGUGUCCCCGUGGCUGCCUUUCUGCCGACAAAGCCUCUCUCCAGCCUUCUCCAGACACGGACCUGCACCGAACGUUGUGCAGCCAGUGCGGUCCGGAGGCAGCCGGCCGGGUCCGAACGCUGCCGCCCGGGGCCACGGUGGAGGCCAGGCCUCUCCCCGAGCCGCCAGGACCUGUCGGUCUUUGCUGUCGGGUGAAGAAGCGCCGCAGCCACCCUGCAUGCGGGUCCUUGUAGGCUUCUCCGCGUGGCCUCACAGGCAGGACCAAGCUGCUAAGGCCACAUGGGUCCCUACCUUGUCGGAUGGUGCUGGCCCCUCCUUGGGAAGGGCCGGCCUGCCUCCACCUGCCACCAGUGCCCCCGCCUCAGCCGUCGGUCCCUCCUGGGAUGCCGGCCCGUCGGUGACGCGAGCCGUGGAACCUCCGUGCUGUUUGGCGUCACUUUUUUUUGGACAAGAGCAGAUGGGGCAUCUUUUCUCCUCUUGAAGAGGCGUUCACCUUGUUUCCUCUUACAAGCCCUGGUCGCCGUCUUCCCGCGCUUUCCCCUGGAUGGCUGGACCUGGCUCCCGGGAACGUCUGGCUCCUGGGGACUUUUUAGCCGGCACCUGUGCUGCCAGCUCACCAACCUGGGGGUCUCCCCCUCCCCGCCUCCAGCCCUGACUUUCUGUCUCGAGAUUCGUCUCUUUCGAACACGGCAUACCCUGAGGUCGUGCCUAAGUGGUUUGUGUGACUGUCCCUGCAGUGUUUUUGAGGCUCAUCCAUUCAGACCAGCCCGUCGCCCCUUCUUACUGCCAGAUAAUAGCCCAUCCAGUGAUGGAAGUUGAGCUGCAAAGAAAAAAUAUUUUUCAAAAUAUUGUGAAAUUACUACACUAAAUAUUGACGUUAUGUUUUUUGACACAACCCUGUCUAAAAUAGUUCUAAUACAUACUAUCACAACA
ensembl:lncRNA